rnacentral:rRNA from 1 species
ACGAACGCUGGCGGCGUGCUUAACACAUGCAAGUCGAACGAUGAAGACUGGUGCUUGCACUGGUUGGAUUAGUGGCGAACGGGUGAGUAAUACGUGAGUAACCUGCCUUUGACUCUGGGAUAAGCCUGGGAAACUGGGUCUAAUACCGGAUAUGACAAGGAACCGCAUGGUUUUUUGUGGAAAGGGUUUGUACUGGUUUUAGAUGGGCUCACAGCCUAUCAGCUUGUUGGUGGGGUAAUGGCUCACCAAGGCGACGACGGGUAGCCGGCCUGAGAGGGUGACCGGCAACACUGGGACUGAGACACGGCCCAGAAUCAUACGGGAGGCAGCAGUGGGGAAUAUUGCACAAUGGGCGCAAGCCUGAUGCAGCGACGCCGCGUGAGGGAUGACGGCCUUCGGGUUGUAAACCUCUUUCAGCAGGGAAGAAGCGAAAGUGACGGUACCUGCAGAAGAAGCGCCGGCUAACUACGUGCCAGCAGCCGCGGUAAUACGUAGGGCGCGAGCGUUGUCCGGAAUUAUUGGGCGUAAAGAGCUUGUAGGCGGUUUGUUGCGUCUGCUGUGAAAGACCGGGGCUUAACCCCGGUAUUGCAGUGGGUACGGGCAGACUAGAGUGCAGUAGGGGAGACUGGAAUUCCUGGUGUAGCGGUGAAAUGCGCAGAUAUCAGGAGGAACACCGAUGGCAAAGGCAGGUCUCUGGGCUGUAACUGACGCUGAGAAGCGAAAGCAUGGGGAGCGAACAGGAUUAGAUACCCUGGUAGUCCAUGCCGUAAACGUUGGGCACUAGGUGUGGGACAUUCCACGUUU